rnacentral:rRNA from 1 species
UACGUAGGGGGCUAGCGUUGUCCGGAAUCAUUGGGCGUAAAGCGCGUGUAGGCGGCUUUGCAAGUCGGAUGUGAAAGCCCUCGGCUCAACCGAGGAAGUGCGUUCGAAACUGCAGAGCUUGAGUACCGGAGAGGGUGGCGGAAUUCCCCAAGUAGAGGUGAAAUUCGUAGAUAUGGGGAGGAACACCGGUGGCGAAGGCGGCCACCUGGACGGUCACUGACGCUGAGACGCGAAAGCGUGGGGAGCGAACAGG